GUCAACCAAAGAAAAAUAAGAUAAAAGAGUUUUCCAUUGCACAGCAUGGCCUUCUUUUGCUAAAGGAAAUGAGGUAGCACCUCAGCACUCUGUGGGGGGCAUUUUAAGCAAAGCAAUAACCAACAAAAAGAACAAAAAUGAGAACAUGUGAGACUAAAUAAACCACAAAAAAGACAAUUGUUAUAGUCUGAGAGCCGAAACAAGGAGGCAAGGCCUUGUUGGACCUCAACUGGGAACAAGUGUGCAAGAUGAAGAAAAGGAAGUGCAGAAAAGUUGAAGAACUUGCUCAGUGUCAUCCCUGAUUGUCAAAGCAGGGACAGACAUGAAGCUUCUACCCCUACUCUUACUCCUAAGUAUCUCUAAGUAUUUUGCUAUUUACCACACUCCUAUUUUACUAGUCAUUGGCUUAAAACAUCAUUAGCGAUAGAAUGAAUAAACUCUGGUACACAGGAAACUAGUGCCAGAAUAAUUUGACCUAAGAAUUCCUUUUUUGGACCACAGAUAAUAUGCUAUUCAAAUAACAUCAUGCCAAUUCUAUUAUAUCAUGGCAUUCGAUUUGCUGUUAAUACAUUAAACAUAG